UACGAGGGGGGCAAGCGUUGUUCGGAAUUAUUGGGCGUAAAGGGUUCGUAGGCGGUGUGGCAAGUCGGAAGUGAAAUCUCCAGGCUUAACUUGGAGGCUGCUUCCGAAACUGCCGUGCUAGAGUGCGGGAGAGGCCAGUGGAAUUGCAGGUGUAGCGGUGAAAUGCGUAGAUAUCUGCAGGAACACCCGUGGCGAAGGCGGCUGGCUGGACCGCAACUGACGCUGAGGAACGAAAGCUAGGGGAGCAAACAGG
rnacentral:rRNA from 1 species